GACGAACGCUGGCGGCGCGCCUAACACAUGCAAGUCGAACGAGCGAGAGAGAGCUUGCUUUCUCGAGCGAGUGGCGAACGGGUGAGUAACGCGUGAGGAACCUGCCUCAAAGAGGGGGACAACAGUUGGAAACGACUGCUAAUACCGCAUAAGCCCACGGCUCGGCAUCGAGCAGGGGGAAAAGGAGCAAUCCGCUUUGAGAUGGCCUCGCGUCCGAUUAGCUAGUUGGUGAGGUAACGGCCCACCAAGGCGACGAUCGGUAGCCGGACUGAGAGGUUGAACGGCCACAUUGGGACUGAGACACGGUCCAGACUCCUACGGGAGGCAGCAGUGGGGAAUAUUGCACAAUGGGGGAAACCCUGAUGCAGCGACGCCGCGUGGAGGAAGAAGGUCUUCGGAUUGUAAACUCCUGUUGUUGGGGAAGAUAAUGACGGUACCCAACAAGGAAGUGACGGCUAACUACGUG
rnacentral:rRNA from 1 species